CAAAUCCCUUUGAUUUAUUUAUUCCCUUUUUAUUUCUAAAACCUUCAACUAUUUCAUCCCUUAGCUACCAAAUAGCCGCCGUGGGAACGUUACGCCUUCCAUGGAGAAGUUCGCGUGGUCUCAAACCCCGACGUCAAACCGUCGAAGUGUCUCUCUUCGCACCCCACGCCUCGACGUGUAUAGUGGUCGGAGCCUCACUACUCCCUCGACCUCCACAGCACGCCGCACACUAGCUUUCAGGCUCUGUGCGAUUCAAACCACUCUGCUGCCACUCACGGCUGUAGGGUAA
rnacentral:lncRNA from 2 species